rnacentral:rRNA from 1 species
UACGUAGGGUGCGAGCGUUGCCCGGAUUUAUUGGGCGUAAAGGGCGCGUAGGCGGCUCGGCACGUCCGUUGUGAAAUCGCCCGGCUCAACUGGGCGGGGUCAGCGGAUACGGUCGAGCUUGAGCAAGCUAGGGGGCAAUGGAAUUCCCGGUGUAGUGGUGGAAUGCGUAGAUAUCGGGAGGAACACCAGUGGCGAAGGCGGGUCUCUGGGCCGAUACUGACGCUGAGGAGCGAAAGCGUGGGGAGCAAACAGG